ACAGCAGUCGCCGCAGUAAUACAGAGGGUGCGAGCGUUAAUCGGAUUUACUGGGCGUAAAGCGUGCGUAGGCGGCUUUUUAAGUCGGAUGUGAAAUCCCUGAGCUUAACUUAGGAAUUGCAUUCGAUACUGGGAAGCUAGAGUAUGGGAGAGGAUGGUAGAAUUCCAGGUGUAGCGGUGAAAUGCGUAGAGAUCUGGAGGAAUACCGAUGGCGAAGGCAGCCAUCUGGCCUAAUACUGACGCUGAGGUACGAAAGCAUGGGGAGCAAACAGGAUUAGAUACCCCCGUAGUCCCUGUCUCUUAUAC
rnacentral:rRNA from 1 species